rnacentral:rRNA from 1 species
GAGGUGCUUGCACCUUAUCUUAGCGGCGGACGGGUGAGUAAUGCUUAGGAAUCUGCCUAUUAGUGGGGGACAACAUUCCGAAAGGGAGCUAAUACCGCAUACGUCCUACGGGAGAAAGCAGGGGAUCUUCGGACCUUGCGCUAAUAGAUGAGCCUAAGUCGGAUUAGCUAGUUGGUGGGGUAAAGGCCUACCAAGGCGACGAUCUGUAGCGGGUCUGAGAGGAUGA